rnacentral:tRNA from 1 species
CCCUGAUUGUCCUGAGGUUAAGAACCUGCCUUGCAAUGCAGGGGACUUGGGUUCAAUCCCUGAUCAGGGA